AUUUUAAUGUAAAAAAUGAGUUAGAAAGGGGUAGGGGUAAGCUAAUUGUGCUCUAAAUGUUGAAAAAAUCGCCGUUUUACGAUGCCGAUUACCGCAUAGCCCUCCAUAAAAGUGGGUCAUGUUUGGUGUCUUUGAAAAGCCUACAGUCAGCUCUACAAGUCCAUUUCAAUGACUCAUUCAUCUAAAAAUAACAUUAGCCUUGAAACUAGUUCAAACUAGACCACUACACGUGUCUCUAUUCAAAUCCGAUUGGAUCAUGAUGUGUAUUUAUGAAAUAAACGAUUUUGAUUGGUUCCUUCCGGCCAUGUGGUUCCGAUGUUUACAGCAACAAUGAUGGCGUCCGUGAAUCGAUAGAAGAACCUUUUGGAUAUUGUAUGCUAUCUUUGCCAUUAUUAUUUAUGUCUCAGGUUCUCCUGACUACAAUUAGAAGUAAUGAUCUACCUAAUUUGUUACAAGGAUAUAGAGUCUAUAUUAUAGACAUUAGAUCUACACACAUUGGGAAUUGUAGGUAAGAAAAAAAAGUUUUGUCCAUUCAUUUUUUUCUAUCAUUCUUUUUAGUUCUUGAUUAUAUAUUGAGUAAAUAACACUAAUGCUAUAUUUAUCAUUUGAAUAUUUUCAUAAUAGGCUAUUUAAUUUAUAUUUUCAUUUUCUUUAUAUCAACAGAUCAAAACAACACAUGCAGUGUACACUGACCCUUCCUCUUGUUGGAAGAAAACAUCACCACAUACUAGUACCUCGUCAACCAUCUACCCUGUCUGUAAACUGCCUAAAUACUGCAGUAUGACAUAGAAGUACUUCAUAAUCAAACACCACAUCACAUGCUGCUUAUCACAUAUAUAGCAAUAAUUUCCACUUUAUAGACCUGGAUCUAUAUCAUGUUAACAACCUGGGAUUCUUUUCUCGUUGGAUGCUGUCGUUGACCACCACCUC